UACGGAGGGGGUUAGCGUUGUUCGGAAUGACUGGGCGUAAAGCGCGCGUAGGCGGAUCAUCAAGUCGGGGGUGAAAUCCCGGGGCUCAACCCCGGAAUGGCCUUCGAGACUGGUGGUCUUGAGUUCGAGAGAGGUGAGUGGAAUUCCGAGUGUAGAGGUGAAAUUCGUAGAUAUUCGGAGGAACACCAGUGGCGAAGGCGGCUCACUGGCUCGACACUGACGCUGAGGUGCGAAAGCGUGGGGAUCAAACAGG
rnacentral:rRNA from 1 species